UACGUAGGGGGCAAGCGUUGUUCGGAAUCACUGGGCGUAAAGCGUGCGUAGGCUGUUUCGUAAGUCGUGUGUGAAAGGCGCGGGCUCAACCCGCGGACGGCACAUGAUACUGCGAGACUAGAGUAAUGGAGGGGGAACCGGAAUUCUCGGUGUAGCAGUGAAAUGCGUAGAUAUCGAGAGGAACACUCGUGGCGAAGGCAGCUUACCAAGCUACUUCUGACGUUGAGGCACGAAAGCGUGGGGAGCAAACAGG
rnacentral:rRNA from 1 species